AGCAAAAGAAACCAACAGGGAUUGCCCUAGUAACGGCGAGUGAAGCGGCAACAGCUCAAAUUUGAAAUCUGGCCUUCGGGUCCGAGUUGUAAUUUGUAGAGGAUGCUUUUGGCGCGGUGCCUUCCGAGUUCCCUGGAACGGGACGCCUUAGAGGGUGAGAGCCCCGUACGGUUGGACACCAAGCCUCUGUAAAGCUCCUUCGACGAGUCGAGUAGUUUGGGAAUGCUGCUCUAAAUGGGAGGUAAAUUUCUUCUAAAGCUAAAUAUUGGCCAGAGACCGAUAGCGCACAAGUAGAGUGAUCGAAAGAUGAAAAGCACUUUGAAAAGAGGGUUAAAUAGCACGUGAAAUUGUUGAAAGGGAAGCGUUUGCGACCAGACCUUUUCCUAGCGGAUCAUCCGGUGUUCUCACCGGUGCACUUCGCUAGGUUGAGGCCAGCAUCGGUUUCUGUAGGGGGAUAAAAGCUUGGGGAAUGUAGCUCCCUCGGGAGUGUUAUAGCCCCUUGCAUAAUACCCUUACGGGGACCGAGGACCGCGCUUCGGCAAGGAUGCUGGCGUAAUGGUCGUCAACGAC
rnacentral:rRNA from 1 species